UUUUACUCAAGUACAAGAUCUGAGUACUUCUACUUUUACUGAGUACAAUAUCUGAGUACUUCUACUUUACUCAAGUACGAGAUCUGAGUACUUCUACUUUACUCAAGUACAAGAUCUGAGUACUUCUACUUUUACUGAGUACAUGACCUGAGUACUUCUCCCAGCUUUGGUUUGAAUAAAAACACAAUAAAGAUGUUUUCAAAUACUUUAAUUUUUUACAUCUUUUGGUUUGUAUUUUACAUCCUGUCCGUGUUGCUGUCACUAACGGAGACUGGGCUUUCUAAAGAUCUGCUUUUAAACACGGAGUUUUAACUAUUUACAUGAUGACAUCACUGUGCCGUUUGAGCUGCUCUACUUGACUCUGUAGAGGACCUUCCUCUGCAUGCGGUGCUGCAGCUCGCCGCGCCGCAGCAUCAGGUGCAACACUUUGUAGAUGGCGUGCUCCGGGUAUUUCUGCGGCGGGAAAAAACGGGAGAGUGAGGAAAGAGAGAUGAGUGAGUGAAAUAUCCAAAUUUAAAAACUGCCGACCCUUUCAGUGAACAAGAAAAAGGCCUUUUCCUUUUUAAAUGUAGAUUAUUUUCUGUCCUAUUCAGAGGUUAACUCAAAAUGUUAUUCAUCCCAGGGGACAAUGUUGCUAAAUAUUUUGAAAUUUGAAUAAAGUUAUUUAAAUAAAACAUCUGAAAAAGUAAAAAUUGCAAUAAACUGAAAAUAUUCAAUAAAAAGAUUAAAUUAAAAUAAGGACAAAUAUAUUUAUACAAUCAUUAAAAAUAUAAAGAAUAAAGAAAGUUAAACACAUUAAACCAUUUCUAAAUGAAAUACUUGUAUUACUAUGGGCAGCAUCCUCUUUAUAAAACCCUCUCUGACCUGUUUGGUGAAGUCCUGCACGAUGCUGUGCUCCGAGACCUGAGAGCCGAUAGCGAAGCGUCUCUUCAGCUGCUUCUCCACCCGGGAGAUCAUCUCCUGGUCCUCCGUCGACGUGAAGCCCUCCACUCCUGCAGGCAGGAAGUGAAGACACGUUACAGACGGAUCACAUUUUAUCCACCAGACUAUCUGCACUGUAUCUGUGUAUAUUUAGCAUCUUGUUGACAACAAUCCUAUACAUCUCAAUACUCUGAUUUUAUAAUAACCACACACACACACACACACACACACACCUGAGAGGCUGCCGGACAUGGCGGCGUCCAGCGUGGACACCUGGAAGAGCCUCAGAGCUUCGUCCACUUCUUCCUCUCCGGCCACCGCCUGCAGCUUCAUCUUCGCCAGAGACUCGGCGAUGCGCACCACGGCCUCCAGCUGCCUGCAGAGGACAGACAGGGGGUCAGUUUAACGCUGGGGGGGCAGCAGGUGGAGGAAAGGUGGAUGUUAUUCCUGCUGAACGUACCUGACGGUGAUGGGGAUGGAGGGCCGUUUGUCCGUCUCCCUCUCGUGCUCGCGGGCGCCGCUCCUCAUCACCACGUAGCGGUUCUUCAGCUUCUCGGCAGCGGCGGCCGAGAGGCGGGGUCCGCAUUUACUGAGAGGGACGACAGAAAGUAUUAGCACCGUGGCACAGAAUUACAAAGAGAUGUAACGGCUUCAAAAUAAAUCAAAUAUAGAAAACCACAUGAACAGAAACAGAGGCUGACAUCCAUAAAUGCAAUCCACCCACUAAAUGUUUAAAACAUCAUUCUUAUAUUUUCUUAAUUCAAAAUAAAGACUUCAGCCUUUUCAUUUUGCUGCCAAAAAUAAGUCUGACUUGCAGCUGCGAGAGACUCACGUUCUGGCGUAGGCGAUGUACUUCUUGAACGUGGCCAGAGGAAUCUCCCCCUCCACUCCCUCCGUCUGAGUCUGAGCGCUGAGGUGGACGUUCAUCACGUGACGCGCCAGGGUCUAAAGACAGACCGGAGUUAAUACACAUCACUGAAGUAAAGCUUCCUGUGAGGACAGCGAGCGCCCCGUUCCCCCCCCCCCUCACCAUGUCCUUCUGUUGGUCGUGGUGGUCUUUGAUGAUGAAGAUCAUGUCGAAGCGGGACAGGAUGGUGGGCAUGAAGUCGAUGUUGUCUUCGCCCUUCGUGUCGUCCCAGCGUCCGAACACCGAGUUAGCGGCGGCCAGGACGGAGCAGCGGGAGUUCAGGGUGGUGGUGAUGCCGGCCUGUGGGGAGGGGGGGGGAACACAGUGAUAUUAGCCUUUGCAGACCAUUUACAUGCACACAAACCUAGAGACCAUACCACAGAAAUCUAUCAAUCAUCAAAAACCCUAAACAGUCCCACGAGAAGAAUUAAAACACAGCUGUAAUUAAUUACCUUGGCGAUGGAGAUGGUCUGCUGCUCCAUGGCUUCAUGAAUGGCCACUCUGUCAUCCUCUCUCAUCUGAACAACAACAAAAACUCACUUUAAUCCUGAAACACAAACCAAUCAAACAUCCUCCGUCUAUAAAGAGGUGCAGGAAUGACUCCGAAAACCAGGCGGUGGAGACAUGAAGUCAUGUGACCGUGCGUCCAAUGGAAAAAUCCCAUUGGCCUCUUCUGUAGGGAACCAGGGAGAUGCUGCCUUCAGGGUCCACCUCUAGUAAUAAGUCAUCCCUGCUCCACUGUAUAACACCAACUUAUUUCCUUACCUUGUCGAACUCGUCGAUGCACACCACUCCUCCGUCAGCCAGCACCAUGGCCCCCCCCUCCAUGAUGAAGCCCCGGGUGUGUGGGUCCCUCAGAACAGAGGCGGUGAGACCGGCGGCGCUGCUGCCUUUCCCUGAGGUGUACACCUGGAGAGAAACGAUUCAGCAUCAGAGUGGACUCACAACGAACACAAGGGUCUACAGAGGGGUCAACGGGAGGGGGGGUAGUUACCCCGAUGGGGGAGCAUCUCUCCACGAACUUGAGCAGCUGAGACUUGGCUGUGCCGGGGUCUCCCAGCAUCAGCAGGUUGAUGUCACCACGACGGGUCAGACCAUCAGGCAGCCUGAGGUGGGAAGAGGGGGGGGAAAGCAUUACUUAACAGGCAGUUAUUCAUGUAUUAAUAUCAUUUGUAUUCCAUUGUAGAGGGUAUGACAGAAAACCCUGAGACCCCUCACCUCUUCCUGGAGCCCCCAAACAGCAGACAGGUGAUGGCCUUCUUCAGGUCCUCGCUGCCGUAGAUGGAGGGAGCGACGGAGCGAGCCAGGGCGCCGUAAACGUUGGGAGACGCAGCGAGUCCUCGGAGCUCCUCCUCCUCCUGAGGGGUGACCGAACAGUUGGCUCCACGACCUGAGAGGAAAACACACCCGUCACGAUCUGACCUCCGACCUCCUGACAGAGGACUUUAACUUCAGUAACACAUGGCGUCUUUAUUCCAGCGUCUCCUCACCGGCCCCCUCCGUGUCCACCUGGAUGCCGACCACCCUCAGGUACGACGCUCUGAUCCCGACUCCAGCGCUCUUCUCGUUUCCUCGAGCCUUCACCGCCGCCAUCUUCUUGAUCGAGUAAAUACCGACGAUGGUCACCCUGUUGCCGGGGACGACGCGGUCACACAGUAGAGCUGCAUGUGGCGCGGCAUCUCUCCGUGAGGAACAGCGUCCGGAGCUUCCUGCAAGCGGAGCGUCUGGAAGUCGACGCAGACGCAGCGGUCGGGGAUGAUGAAGUACGGAUCGAUGGGACACUUCACCCUGCCGGCGGCCUCACUGCGGAGAGGAAACACGGAGGGGAAGAUUCAACAUGCGGCACAAACACCUGCAUCUCUGAAAGGCCUAAAACACAACAGCUGCUCUUCCAGGACGCAUUCCCGCACCACUCACGUGUUGCACUUGCGCGGCAGAGCGUAUCCCUGCAGGCCCGGCGGCAGCGGGAUGUUGCUGAUGACGGAGCGACAGCCGCGACACUGCAGACACACUUUGGUGGCCUUCGCUCUCACCGGCGUUGCCGAGAUGAUGAUGCCGCUCACCUUCACCAGGCGGGACACCUGCUCCGACUGCAGGGGGAGACAGGAAGUGAGGAGAGGAGGUGAGCACAUGGUCGAGGAGGACUCCGAGGAUGAGUAAGACGCUCUGAGAGGCAUUCGGGUACCUUGAGGCCGCGGAUGGAGGCGUGGUGAGCGUCGCUCCGCAGCGUCACCUGGAUGUCCUGCACCGUCUCCUCCCCCACCGGCCGGGGGCGGGUCACCUCGUCAGCCACCUCCUUCGCCGCUUCCUCCAGCUGAAACACACCAAGACGUUAGAGGUCACAAACUCUAUAUGUUCAUGACACUGCAUUUUUUUAUUAUUAAUAUCAAAGUCAAAUCUAUGAUAUCCAGCAGAUCAAGUGUUGGGAUGUUGGCAAUCAACCAGAACCAGACACUGAAUGUUUUUGUGGAGUGAGGGAAUCUUUAAGUAAAUAUUACUUCAGUGUCAGACUCACCAUCGGCAGGUUCUCAGAGGGGACUUUGUACAGACAGUCGGACAGGUCCUCGUCGAAGCUGGCCAGAUCCUCCAUCUCCACAUCCAGCCAGAACUCUCCGAGGGUGUAGUGCCUCUUCAGCUCAUCUCUGAACAAAAACACAGACAAAUAAGAAUCAUUAGUGGUGAAGAUCUAAUGCUCACAUAUCCCCAAAACAAGAGAACAGCAGUCUCAAAACCCUGAAGGGAGCUUAUUUUAAAUACUUUGUAGAGUACUAGGUAGUCAAGUAGCAAAGUACUGCAUCAUGUGCCUUUCAUCAACUCAAAGACACAUUCAGAUAUAUGAUAAGAUGCAUAAAUAUACAACCAAGUACCUUAAACUCUCUUUUGAUUAACAAAUUACAACAUGUAAAUUCUGUUAUACGAGUCUUUUAGUGACACCACCGAAUUGUAGAGCUAUUUGCAUACUGUGUACACUUUGAUCAUAAUCCACGACUUCUACUUGUAUUUCAAUAUGUUUAUACUACAGUAUUUGUACUUUUACUUGGGUAAAGGAUCAAAAAUGGUCUGCCUCUGAUAGCAUAACUGCAUCAUAUUAAUAAAGAUAUUAGUCUGA